rnacentral:lncRNA from 1 species
UCAUAGUGGAAAGACUUUUCUUCUCCGAUAUGGCCGUUACUUUUGGUUGUCAUUCUCUAGUCAAGGAUCUUAGCACUUUAAGGUUGAGAUCAUCAUUUGUAAAUGUUUUUCCGAGAGCAAUUAAAUGGUUCGUUAAAUGAACAAAUAUUUUUUGUAAUGCAACAAUGGAUUCUCCGGGCUGCAUUUUGAACAUUUCAUAUUCUUGACUCAAUGUGUUUAAUUUGGAUCUUUUAACUUCAGCGGUUC